GAUUUGGUGGCCGAGUGGUUAAGGCGUUACGUUUAGGAACUUGGUUCAAAACCGUAAUUCGAAAGAGCGCGAGUUCGAAUCUCGUCCAAAUCA
rfam:Tuber melanosporum whole genome shotgun sequence assembly, scaffold_31, strain Mel28